rnacentral:tRNA from 1 species
UCCCUGGUGGCUUAGACAGUAAAGAAUCUGCCUGAAAUGCAGGAGACCUGGGUUCGAUUCCUGGGUUGGGAA